GGAGAGCCACGGCCUGCCGCUUCU
rnacentral:siRNA from 1 species